AAAAGCAUUGGUUUUGGAAUCAGACAAGCCUAAACUUGAAUCUCGGCUUCUACUACUUAUUGGCCAUGUGACUCUAGGUAAAGCACAUUGCUACUCCGAGCUCCAAUUUUCACAUCUACGUGAUGAGAAAAAGAAAAACGACCUUGCACAGCUAUUAUGAAGAUAACACAAGUCCUGUACCUGGACUGUCGGUGCUUAAUAAAUAAUCACUGAAUUCUUUUUGGAUUAUGAGAAGGCAGAAAUGCCAAGGACCAAAUAAAUCCUGCUUUGGUGAUCGAAAGGAGUGGGAGGUUAGGAAGGCAGCAUUUGACCUCCUUGGGCCGGGCCCCCCAGGGGCUCCCUGGCAAUUAUACAGUGAAGGUCACACUCUUGCCUGGUGUUUCAAGGCUGUUUUUGUUGUAGUCUCUACCUGUAUCUUUUCCUUAAAAUAAAAGCAUGAAAUAACUGGCAACUGCAACCACCAUGGCCUUCAUUUUGUUUCCCCACCACCAUCUUGGCCUGGGGAUCAUGUAGCUCCAGAUCCAUUCAAUGCUGUGUGGAUCCAUGGCUGAAAAUGGUUACAUUAUCCAACAAGGUUUCUGAUUUGUCCUGUGGUUGAUUUAGUUGUUCUUCUCUUUAACACUCAUCGGUAAGAUUUUCUUGGCUGUCACCCUUACCUCAUCCACAUGACUUCUGGACCUGCUGUUUGUCAUUUCUAGGUCGGAUUCUUGGCUCCAUGGGCCCCUGAGGAAGGAGGCUUCCUCUCCAUCUGAAUUAUCUUUCAAAUGAUUUUAUCUUUCGCCUUCACAUCAUCAUGACUGAGGUGGCAGUUGAACUUGGGAGGCAUCUUUCUAACCACUUUAUUCCCUUCCUGACCCUGCAUUCAAGCUGUACUGAACUGUCUGCGAUACCUUCGGCAGAGUGGACUUCUUUAUGGUUCCAUGCCUGUAUUCUGGCUGUUCUCUUGGCCAAGAAUACCUUUCUACUCCCGGUUAUGUAGCAACUAUAUACUUGACUAUUGAGGAACAUCUUCACUCUCUCACUGUUCCAGGCACUUGGAAACAGGGAACAAAACAGACAAAACAUCUGCCCUGCAGAGCUGACAUUCUAGUGUAUGAAUGUAGGGGGCAGGAACAGAAAUAAACAAGAAGAUACAAAAUGUGUCAAAUAGUGGUAAGUGCUAUGGAGAAAAAUAAAGCUGGGCAAGAGGAUGUGCAGAAGGCUCGGUCAGCCCUACCACAGCCAAAAUUCGCAUGGCGCUUUUAUCAAGUAACCUUUUCUUACUUAGAUAUUUUCUGAUGUUAUUGUGUAUUCAUUAUGGUCAUAAUCCUUCCAACAACUUUAUCAGUUUAGUGCUAUUAUUAUCUUGUUCAUAUUGGUGAGCAAACUGUGCCUCAGAGAUAUAAAUCACAUAAUUAGGAGGGGCAGAGCUGGCAUGGUCUGACCCAAAGCCUGUGCUCAUAACCACUAAGCCACUGGGCCCUCAGCAAGGCUCACAACAACUCUCUGAGGUUGGAAUUAUACCUACGUUAUGUUUGGGGAAGCUGAGCUUCAGCGAGGGAAUGGACUCAUCCAUGGUUGCACAGCAAAUAAAUGGAUUUGAACCCAAAUCUGUCCAACACUCAAGGCUAGGCCUUUCUAACAAUGUUGAGACCUAGGGACCUAUGGCUUUCCCUGCCUCUGUAUUUCUGCAGCCCAUGCAAGGUACCCCGUUGAGGCCACUGGCCUUUCCCCCUUCUCUUUCCACCUAUAGUUCAUAUGGAACCUUGAGAUAUGCGUAUGGACACCCAAGCCCACAUUCAAGCCCUGUCUAUUUUCCCUUCCCAUUGGCCAUCCAUCUGCUAGGAUGGACCUGGAUAAUAAGAUCACACAAUUCCUGCAAGUAAGCUCAAGAACCACGGCCAGGGGAGUUCUCUUGCGGCACAACAGGUUAGGGAUCCAACCUUGUCACUGUAGCAGCUUAGGUUGCUGCUGUGGCUCGAGUUCAAUCCCUAGCCCAGAAACUUCCACAUGCCAUGAGUGUAGCCAAAAGGAAAAAAAAAAAAAAAAAAAAAAAAAAAAAGAACUAGGAGUGGCCAGGGAAUUCUAGGUACUUGGAGUGCAAUCUAGAAGGGAGAGGGCCAGAGAUCCUGAUGGUCAUGUUCCCAUGGCCCCACAGACUCAUUACCUCACAGAGGGGGCCUCUAAAGUGUGGUGUCCAGGAAUUGCCAUUGUGGCUCAGCGGUAACGAACCUGGCUUAUAUUCAUGAAGAUGCAGUUUUGAUCCCCAGCCUCGCUCAGUGAGUUAAGGAUCUGGCAUUGCUGUGAGCUGUGGUGUAGGUCACAGAUGCGGCUCUGAUCUGGUGUUGCUGUGAGCUGUGGUGUAGGUCACAGAUGCGGCUCUGAUCUGGUGUUGCUGUGGCUGUGGUGUAGGCCAGCAGCUGUAGCUCUGGUUUGACCCCUAGCCUGGGAACUUCCAUAUACCGCGGGUGCAGCCCUAAG
rnacentral:lncRNA from 1 species